rnacentral:tRNA from 1 species
CAGAAGGUAGUUUAGUACAAAAUUCCGGUUUUGGGGAUCGGAGACGAAAUUUUUAAGUUUUUCUCUUUUGA